AACCAAACCCAGUACUGAAGUGCCUUCUGUGUUUUAAACAGCUCAAACAUCAACUGGGGAAAAAAUUAAAGCCUUAAAUCACAGAAGCCCCAAGAAUCCUAUGUUGAGUGUACUGCAGUGAGUCUAAGUAAACACUGUGUUUGGUUCUCCUCAGCUCAAAUGCAUCCAUGAGUAGUGGGACUGAAACUGACCGCUGAGGGGUUUUUAGAGCGUACAUAUCUUGAGUUUGUAAUAUACUGGGAUAUAUAUAUUUGUCUCCAGUGCAGUAUUUCAGGUGGACGUUCAUUUCCGUAUUCAUUUCAGCAGCAAUUUUGACAUGUUAAAUACAUGUCAUUAAAGAAGUGCCAACAGGUGACACUGUAGGUAUUUGGGGAUUAAAUUGACGUUACUUUCGCAUUGUCGUUACAGUUAUGUUUCAUGAAAGCCAUUUGUCAUGUUUCAGAAGGUCUUUACCAAUUGUUUUCCAAACGUGGCCUUUAGGAUACAAACGAACCUGGCUGGAACUGUCGUAAGAAAGAUUUCCGUUGAGGCUUUCACCGCUUCAGACCAUUACACGUUAAAACAGUUUUCUGGUCACAAAACUGCAACGAUUCUUUAUGUUAACAGAGCUGAAGUUGUUUAAGAUAACCGCUAUUUUGUAUAAAGAUUUGUAAAGAUAAUGGACUGUGCCUUUGUACAAUAGAUUCUGUGGGUUUUGUUUUGUAAUAAAUAUAUUUAAAAUAUUUGAUUAGGAGUCCUUGUGAGCGGUGAUAUUUCAGCAUCUGCAGCAGAGGCAACCAGCCGGUGGCACAGCUGUAACAGCGAGAGCAAGGAGGUGAAGAGGUUAGUUGGAAAACUGCACAUCUUUAGGAUUAUGACUGUUAGCAAGCUGUCCAGCUUACCGCAACUUCGUCAGCAUCGUUACCCUGUCCAAGUGGUGCAAUUCAUUUCCAUAACUGCUGUGGGUUUGCUAUACUGGGUCAGGUCAGUGUUUUGUUGUUGUUUUUUUUUUAAUGUAUAGUAUGUUUUAAAUCAUCUCCUUAGGAGGCAGAACUAAAUUUGUGACUAAAGACUCUGUUUUUUAAGGCGGGCAUACUUGAGAACUAUUUUUGUUGAGUCUAGCUUGGUCUUACAGUCUUGCAAUCAAUAUAGGUAAUCUCAGGUGGGUGAAGUCAGAAUAACCUUUGUCCUGUCCUAACUGUAAAGUCAAAAUAAUCUUUAACCAUCUUUCUGUUACAUUCACACGAGUGAAACUCAGUGUGUCUGGUAAACUUUGACAAGGUAAAGCUGAGUUCUCAGCACUAAAUAUCUCUUCUUUGGAAGGCCUCGGUGUAUCUGUGAUCUCACAAAGAGUAGAUUGCAGAUUUCUGAGAAUGAGCAGUUCCAUUAGUUUGUAACAGGGAUAAGGGAGAACUGACUGUGGAGCAAAGAUGAGAAGAUGGACCAAAAAUGAUAAGGAAAGACUCCUGGUGUCUGUGGGAGGUUCCCUGAAGACGUGGUGGAUAAGUCAACAGACUGGAGAGGGCAAGCCAACCAGUUUGCAAAUAAUAUCCUUCUGAGAUCAAAGCCUGUCAUUAUGGCAGAAUUGUUCUGCUAAUGCAAAUGUGACUCGUGUUUCAAAGACCAAAACUUAUUUAUUUAUUUAUUUAUUUAUUUUUGUUGGGAGCAACAUCUUUGCGAGGCAACGCUGUCUGUGUAGCUAUAGCAGCAAUUUAUUCGGUGCGUGACCCAGUGAUGACGUGGGGGAAUUUUGCCUGAUGCAAUGGAGAAUGUGAGAUGUUGACAACUUUCCCAACAGUGGCUCAUCAGCGGGUGAGAAUAAUCUCUGAAGGCUCCAACUUGUGUCACUUUGACAAGUGUGCUUUUCCCUUGUUUUAGUAUGCUUUAGUACGCUCACAAUUAAUUUUUUUUACAUUUUUAGCACCACUCACAUUUGAAUUGUUUGCGUUUUGCUUAGUAUGUUUAUGCUUGAAUCGUUUCCAUUUUACUCAGAAACAAAUCGUCUCACUAAAGUUCACUGCUACAAUAAAGUCACUGUAAGUUGGCAUUCCAUUCGUUGUCGCUUUGUUGUCCAGUAUCCAAAGAACCCUGUUGUCGUGUGACAUUUUUGCUGUAGUCAGUGGGAUACCGGGCACAAAAUGACUGACAGUAAAUGGAAUGCCUUGGAGGAGGAGAUGCCUAGAGAGGGUUGGGACAGACUGGCCUGUAUUUAGGACAGGAUCUGAUCAAGCUGCUCUAACCCGGCUAAUGCUGGGGAGCAAUUUGUGGGCAGCUGUCAAUGCCAGCAAAAGAAAUGAGGCAAAGGAAAGAAAUCAAACUUCUGUGUUGCUAUUGAAGGGCAUCUGAAAAUCACAGAGAUUGUUUAAAAAGAAUAAUUGAACAACUGGAAUCUGAUUUGCAGAUUUAAGGUGAUGAAGUCAGAACAGGGAAAGUGACGUGAAGAUCUCAUGACCACUACAGAACUCUGGGGAGAUAAGACUGAAAAUCAUGUUACUGAAAAUCAUCGUAAGAGGGCCAAACAACCUUAAUCCUCCAUUUUAGUGGCAUAUUAUGUUGAUCUGGGAGACUGGGAUGUGAGUGUUUGGUUGUGCAGUGGCAAUGAGGAGGUAUCUAAUGGCCCUUCUGGAAAGGUGAAUGUCCUUCCUAUAGCAAAGAUUACUGGCCAGUUUGGUCUUGGUAAUGUAACAGGAAAUGAAAGACACAGGGAAUUUUACUUCCACAGAAAUAAUGAACGUCUCUCAACAAUUUAAGAACCCACUGGAUGUUUCUAUCGUUAAGUGGUUGUCUGACACUUGGCACGAGGGAGCAGGAAUGCUCACCAUCACUGAUUCAGAAGUAGGAACUAUGUUAUGAGCAUUUAGGCUGGCAUUCAGAUUUAUAAAGGGUUUAUAUCCACAGGGAGAACUUUGCCCCAUUGAGUUACCACCGUAUAAUAAUGCUUCUAACGGUGAAUUCUCACUUGUUCCCUCUUCUGACACUUGUAGUAUUCAGGAUCCUAGUACCUUCUAUUGCCUGUGUUUCUAUAUUUGGUCAAUGAACUAUGCUAUAUCUAGUAUCUCACUGUACUUUAACUAUGAGAACUACUGUUCCAUUAAUCAUUUGUACUUCCUGCUUUGCACCAGAAGAAUGCAAGUGCAUGAAAACUACCAUUCUAUGGUAGUAGGGAUGGAGACAAUUUUGCAAGGCAUCUCAGACCUUUCUGCUCUCUUAACAUCAUGCAAACAUAGGCAGUCCUUAGUCUGGAUUACUCACUUGACCAGUCUUAUUGAUCCUGGGCUCUAUUUUCCAUGUGGCAGCAACACAUGUAAGAGCUUACCUUGCCAAUGUGGGGGGCAGAUGCUCAAUAGGUAUGCAAAUCCAGAGAAGCAGCUUUCUUUAUAUCCUUUGUUUGCAGAGACCUGCAUGGUGCCUGGGCAUGGAUAUGAGGAGGAUUUAACAUCGGCAGUAAGAUGAGACACAGUAAAGGGAAUCCUCAACAUGUCUUUCUUUCCCUCUGUCCUUGUUAUCAACCAUAGGAUAAGUGCAAGCACUGAUGUUUGACAGCAACUGGGAAUAGUUUCUCUCAUAUGGACUUUUGCUUGUCUAACAGGAAAUAGGUGAGCACCUGACUUCUAACAGAAAGGAGUUAGUUUACCCAGCAAUUAUGUGUCUCCUAACUACUGCUUGGUAUUUAAAGAGAUGAUUUGGUGUUGAGGAAAACAGAUAUGCUUCAGAUAUGGGGCGGAUGAGGCCUCAGAUGCGUGGGUACAAUGCUGUGGGACCCAAGCCUGCUGCAGAACCUAUAAGAGCUGAAAAAAAAGCCAUACUUAGGACUGGGAGCUCACAAAUAGCCUGUCCAGGUAAGGCCUGCUCUAAACGGUGCUGUUUUUCAAGUAUUUGCAUAUGUCCAGAGUGCAUUUCAAUGAGAAUGAGACCAAAAUUCUGGAGAUGCUUUUGGACCACUAAUCCAGAGGGCAGGGAUUUUGUGUCUGCGCGGGGUGGCAUUUUUUCUUCCAAGCAGUGGAGUAACUUGGGACUUCCUCCUAUUGCUGAUCCAAACAUGCCACCUACUGUUUGUUGGAAGGGAGACAUGGUGUAGCCAGUAAAACCAGUGCAAACGUUAACCAGACUAGAUGCAAUGCACCUGGAAAACACUCUCUAGCAGCCAGUUGGAGAACCUGGCCAUCACAGGUUCAUCUGCUCUCCACCAUCACAGAAGAAUCAUCCUGCAACCUGGUGCUUCGGAUGUGCACAUGUCAGGGAGCAGCAAUGCCAAAGCCUGGACAGCAGGAGGAAGCAAACAUAGAGCGGGGCAGGAAAAACUGGUGUUAAAAUGAUACUGGCUUUGCAAGGCAACACUCAUCAGCUACUUCACAGCAAUAGCACAGGGGGUCUCUGAGAGGAAGCUGUGUCUCUGUAGGAGGGAAAAUGAACCACAGAAUAGUUGGGGUUGGCAGGGCCCUGUGGGUCCAUGUGGCACAACCCCUGCUCCAACAGGGACAGCCAGCACAGGGAGCCCAGCAUUUUCCUUGUUGGACUUCAUGCCAUCGCUGUCACCCAGACCCCCUAUCUUUCUAUCUGGACCCCCCUAGGCCUCUCCUAGUGUUGUGGAUGCCACUGACAGCACUGCAGCACGGGGAAAGAUCUGCUCCUGCUUCCCU
ensembl:lncRNA